rnacentral:rRNA from 1 species
AACGAACGCUGGCGGCAUGCCUAACACAUGCAAGUCGAACGAGACCUUCGGGUCUAGUGGCGCACGGGUGCGUAACGCGUGGGAACCUGCCCUUAGGUUCGGAAUAACUCCCCGAAAGGGGUGCUGAUACCGGAUAAUGUCUUCGGACCAAAGAUUUAUCGCCUUUGGAUGGGCCCGCGUUGGAUUAGCUAGUUGGUAGGGUAAAAGCCUACCAAGGCGACGAUCCAUAGCUGGUCUGAGAGGAUGAUCAGCCACACUGGGACUGAGACACGGCCCAGACUCCUACGGGAGGCAGCAGUGGGGAAUAUUGGACAAUGGGCGAAAGCCUGAUCCAGCAAUGCCGCGUGAGUGAUGAAGGCCUUAGGGUUGUAAAGCUCUUUUACCCGGGAUGAUAAUGACAGUACCGGGAGAAUAAGCGCCGGCUAACUCCGUG